CGCGCGACGUUUCUGUCCAAUAAAAAUCGCUCGCCUCGAAAAAACGGCGUCAGUAGUUUUAUGGGUUUCUCUGAUAUCAGAAACACUGUGUUUUUCAGCUGUUUCUGACCCGUUUAAUUUACUUAUUUUCCUCAUUUUAAGGGGGGGUUACCAGUAUAUAAAGAGAUGUGAAGGUAAACGGACCAGAGGGAAGGUUUUCCUCCUCCUUAUACACUGAAUUUGUCAAGUGACCUAGAAGAUAUAUCCCAAUCAGCUUCACUCCACGACCUAGAGUUUCAGGACUGAUUUCUUCAGGAGAUCUGUCUGCUGCAAGGUGAGAUGAUAUCAAAUAACUUGUAUGCAUAUGAAAUAAAAUUAUUGAAGGAAUGGCAUUUAUAUAGAAAUAAACACUCUUGAUAGAUGAUACUAUAGAUGUUCCCACAGCAUGAGAAAACAACAUUCUCUUCUUUCUUAAAAGCAGAUUUAUUAACUAUAUUUGCUUUGUUUCUACUCUUUUAACAGGUUUCAGAAAAUAGCGAGCCUGCUGGAGGAUUUUCUGCUAAAAUAGGCUAUUCCUCAACGAAACCUAACCAGCAUUAACACAAAUAAAAAAAAAAAAGUGUACAAAAAGGCGGAUAAGAUUAUGAUCCCAUAAGAGAUCAUAUCAACUUCUUUCCCCAUAUAUACAUAUACAUUAAAUAUACAUUACUGCUUUAUUUAUAACCUUUAGAGGAUGUAUGUUUCAGCUUUUGUUUACCAUGGUGUGUUUAACAUUAUGUCCAUGUAAACAUUUAAGGAACAACCUCUUUCAGCCAAGCUUAAGAAAGUAACCAUAGGUAAUCAAAAGCUUGGUCUACUAGAUGUGCUCUUGAUUUCUUAAGUCUUACAUGAAUUUCAAAUAAUCCAUAUUUUAAAAGUUAUUUAUUUAUAUUAAACAAGUUUUGCCAAAUCUAGACCCGACCUGAACACUUUACCUGCCUUCAACUGCAAAAACAAACUAGAGGAACUCAAUUUGAUGAUACUUUAUUUGUUUUUAUUGCACAAAUAUUACAAAUAAAUGUCAAAAAACAACA